GAGGAUGUGGCUCAGUGUACAGCUCUUGCCUUCUUUGCAGAAGGUCCUGGGUUCAAUCCCCAGCACCUCA
rnacentral:tRNA from 1 species